UACAGAGGGGGCAAGCGUUGUUCGGAAUUACUGGGCGUAAAGCGCACGUAGGCGGCUUGGUAUGUCGGGUGUGAAAUCCCCGGGCUCAACCUGGGAACUGCAUCCGAAACUGCCUUGCUAGAGUAUGGGAGAGGGAAGUGGAAUUUCCGGUGUAGCGGUGAAAUGCGUAGAUAUCGGAAGGAACAUCAGUGGCGAAGGCGGUCUCUGGGACAGUUCCUGACGCUGAGGCACGAAGGUCAGGG
rnacentral:rRNA from 1 species